rnacentral:lncRNA from 1 species
GGCCCUGUGAUGGAGUCAAUCAGCCGGCACAGUCUCUUGUCCCUUGGGCAUACUUGUAUGGAGUACAUCAUUAGCUGAAGAAGGGGAGGCUUUCCUCUGUAAUGUUAAUGCUGUGUAUUAGCUCUCUUGUCCCUGUGCUACUAUUACAGAGCCAUUGCAGCUCCAUUGGGGACAGGGAAGGAGAGCAAGUACAUAACUUCAUCUGGUGUCAUGAUUAUUUUUAGUGUUUUAUUUAGCUGUACACCAGCAAACCUUAUAUAAGUUGCUGUUAUCUUCCAGACUCCUAAGCAGAACGGAACAAAGUGAAAAACUUAAAUUAAUAUUAAUCAGAGAUGUUGCUGUGUGGUAGGCAACAUUUGCACGUUUCAGCGUGUUUAAGUGGCAUUUUGAGCAAUAUUUUAUUUGUCCAAAUGUUGCAGUAUAAAAUAAAAGUGUAAGCCAAGGAAGAGAAAUGUUGCCAGCACACUUGUGUGCAUUGAAUGUUGUCUUGAGAGGCGAGACUGGCAAGCUAUUUGCCUGGAAGGACUUGUUAUACAUUAAUUAAGUUGGCAAGGUGCUAGCUAGCUGCAAGACUCAACUGGGCUGUUUUUUAAGAGUAACCACUGCCUUUUAAUUUUUUAUACUCAAAAUAUCUGUUUCAAGACAAUGAUUUUUUUUUUUUAAAAAAACCUACCUAAUUCAUUUAAGAGCAAGAGAGUAAAGGUCCUGAUUAUUUAGAAUCAGUUGACAGCUUCAUAAGUAAAUAGGUUAAAAAUUAUAUGAUAACCCCUUCAUUGCAUAAGAUGAUAGGUUUUUCUAUUAUCUAGCUUGCUGUAAUGGCUAUAGAUUAAGGAUUCAAAUUGACCUGGCAUGAAUGUAUUAAAUCAGGUUAUCUGCCAAAAUGGGUUAACUACCAUGUACCCACUACCAGAGUUUGAAAUUAGCCAGUUGCCAUACAUGUUUUGCUACUGGUCUGGUCCAGUUGCACAUGGAGGUUUCUGGGCACCAGGUUGGUGACCACAGUUCAAAAAUGUCUGCCUUACUCCAUAGUUAAUAGCAUUUCCAUUUCCUCUAUGUGGGUUUCUCCUUCCUGCAUACUGGGACAUGUGAAUUGUUGUAAGAGCAAGCUACAGUUAGCCAAUGUAGUUAAGAUCAUAGAAUUGUAGCUUUGAAAUUGGAGCUCCUGAGGGUCAUUUAGUCCAAGCCCUUGAAUUCCAUUGUGGCAACCUAGAACCAAGGAGCCAUUUGGUGCCUAGCAUAUACACCUGAGUUUCUAAUACUGCACACAACAAAAUUUCAGUAUACCUUCCAGGUGUGUGUAGACAGCAACAGAAUAAACCAGUUUGGUGAGUGGUAACAGCAAGGAAGUUUGGUGGAUAGGAAUUCAGUCAUUCACUUAAUGAGGAAACAGUUGCUUGAGAACAAAUGCUGCUUAGCCCGUAGCUGUUUGGUUGUGGAUGAACUUGCCAGACCAGGCUGAUGACAGCUUUGGCAUUUAUCCUGAGGAAAAGUUGGUUUCAGAUAAUACAUGCCAAGUUUUCCCUCUUUUUUUAAAUUUAGAACCUGGGUUUCUAAAAAGCAAAACAUUUAAAAAUACAUUAAUCUAAAGCAGCUGUUGUGAAUCUGCGACCUUCUGGUCACAGUUGGGACUACAGCACUCAUAAUCCCUGAUGACUGAACAUGCUGACUAGGGAUGUGGGGAGCUGGAACCCAACAUUUGGAGGGCCAUGGAGUCUCGCAUCCCAGAUAAAGAAUGAUUUUUACUGUUCUGAACUAUUUUUUGAAAUGCAACCCAAAUACCGAGGCAUUUUAAAACGUAGUAUUAAGUCACACAACAAAUAGUAAUCUUUAUGAUGGUUUUGCUUGCUGCUCUCUGAAGUGUGAAGGAGCUCACUUUUAAAUUUGCCUCACUGUUGCAUGGCCCACCCACCUGUAUUAUCCAUUUAAAGCAGUAUCAUAGCACUUUAAACAGUCAUGGCUUCCCACAAAGAAUCCUGGGAACCGCAGAGCAUGCAUGGAGGGUGCUGAGAGUUGUUAGGAGACACACACAGCAACUAUUUUCAGGGUUCCCUGGUAAAAUGGAAUGACCACCAAAUCAGUGUUAGAAAUUAGCCAGGCUCAUUUUGCUACUAGCGCAGGUCCAGUUGCGACCACGUGGAGAUCUCUGGAUGCUAGGUUGGCAACCAACAUCUCCAUCUGGCUGGCUUGCAUUUCUAUCCCACCUUUUUUCCAAAGAGUACAUGGAGUUCACCCCCCUCCUCAGUUAAUCCCUACAAGCGACCCUGUGAGAUAAGUUAAGAGGCUGCGACUGGCCCAAGGUCACCCAGUGGGCUUCAUGAAGGAGUGGUGGUUUGAACCGUGAUCUCCCAGGCCCUACCUAGUCCGACACUCUAACCACUACACCACACUGGCUUCUUAGAGUACUACUUCUGCGAAGCAGCUGUAUAAAUUAAGUAGGUAAAUAAAUGGGGGGAAAGCAAAAUAUCACUUAGAGAAGGAUCUGAAAUAUUUUCCUUGCAGCUUGAAUUUGCUUUAUUCUGGAUUGUUUUAUUUGAUGUUUUAAUGUGUUGUAUACCACUUUGAGAUUUCUUCCUUUAAACUAUAAAACAGUAUAGAAAGGAAAUUAAUAAUAAUAAUACAGUCGUACCUUGGAUCCCGAGCACCUUGCAAGUCGAACGUUUUGGCUCCUGAACGUUGCAAACCUGGAAGUGAGUGAUCCGGUUUGUGAACACUCUUUGGAACCCAAAUGUCCAACGGGGCUUCCGCUGCUUCUGACUGGCUGCAGGAGCUUCCCACAGCCAAUUGGAAGCUGCACCUUGGUUUCGGAACGUUUUGGAAGUCGAACGGACUUCUGGAACAGAUUCCAUUCAACUUCUGAAGUACCACUGUAGUAAUAAAUUCCAAUGCAAAAAGGCGCUUGAAUAUUUGAUUGUAGUGCUCGUAACCUAGGUUUAAGGUGGCAUUUGGUGAUUGGCUUAUGCAGUAUAUCUGAGUUUUUAACACUGCCUUAAACCUCCCUGGUUUAAUGUACCUCUGUGGCAGGAACAUGAGUCUCCUGUUGAAACUGUACCCAGACAAAAUGGAGGGGCUGCAGUUGUGUGGUUAUUGCAGGUGGGAUUUGGGAAGUCAUCCUAUUCCAGAAGAGGUUGCACUACACUUGUAGAAGCAGGUUCAUAACUUCAGAAUACUUCUGGAGUCACUCAGUAGAACCCCGUGUCUUCAGUUUAUGGGAGAGCUUAUUCCCAACACUGGCUAGUUCACCAUCGGCGGGGGCGGGGGGGAGCCAUUUUGGCUCCUUGGGGUAGAUUGCCUUUUGAGUACAGUCUGGAGGCUGCAAUUAGUUCAAAUUGUGGCUAGGGUGCUUAUAUAUACUGCUUAUAUCCAUCUGAAAGAAUUGCACAGGUUACCUAUUACCCUCCAGCCUCAAUUCAAGGUGCUUAUAGUGAUAGAUAAAGCCCUUAGGCUCCAAAUAUCUGAAAGAAUGCUUCUUCCUGAACAACUUGCCCAUGCACUAAGAUCUGCCGAAGGGACCCUUUUUGUGGUUGUCCCACUGUAAUGGGGGGGGGGGUGUCUGUGAGAGGGUCUUCUCUGCUAUGGCACCAGGCCUGACCUCCCUUCAGAUGCGUGACAUGCUUUAUCCUUAAAGUGGUUAAGUACUCAGGUUAAGUACUUAAUUCAUUCCGGAGGUCCGUACUUAACCUGAAACUGUUCUUAACCUGAAGCACCACUUUAGCUAAUGGGGCUUCCUGCUGCCACCGCAUCCUGAAGCAAAGUUCUUAACCUGAAGCACUAUUUCUGGGUUAGCGGAGUCUGUAACCUGAAGCGUAUGUAACCUGAGAUACCACUGUACUUUCAUUUCAAAAUAUGAGACACUUGUGUUGUGUCCUGCUACCAAGUUAACUUCAUUGACAGCAAAUAUGUGUAUUCAUAUGCUCUUAGUUUUGAAUAUUGUUAAACAGUUGUUUUGAAUAUUUUGGUAUUUCCUUCCCUGGGAACUCUGAGGGAAAAUGGUUUAUAAAUAUCAUUUUUUAAAAAAAUAUGAGUGACUGAUAAUCCCAUUUUUAUAUGUAGGAAGUGGGACUUGAGACAGUGACUUGUUCAGAGCUAUGCAGUGAGUCCUUUGAAGAGGUGGGACCUGAAUAUCUCUCUCUCACUUUAUUUUGUGCUACUUUCAUAAUUAGUGUAUGAUGCUUUUAAUUUUUCUUGAAAAUACUAAGGUCCCAAACUAGGGCUAAUUAGCUUUUCCUUUUGGGAAAAGAUAAUUAAUGACUCUAGCUGUGAUAACCAGUUCUGCCUCCAUUGUUGUUAUCGAUAUACCUCCAGAAAUAAGUUGCUGGGAAUCACAAGUGGGGAAAGUGCUGUUGCACUCGGGUUCUGCUUGUGAAAUUAUUGUUAUCUUCAUUGUUUUCAUUUAAAUUCGUAUACUGCCAUUCAUCUGAGGAUUGCAGGGUGAGUUACCAAUAUAAAAACACAAAAAUACAUAACAUAGUAACAAACAGAAACACACACACCCCAGUUUAAAAGGCUAUUGGUUGUUUAAUUAGCCAAAGGCCUGGGAGAAGAGGAAUGUUUUUGCCUGGCGCCUAAAAGUAUGUAACAAAGGAGCUAGGUGAGCCUCCCUGGGGAGAGCAUUCCACAAUGGGAAGCCACCACAGAAAAGGCCCAUUCUCAUGUUGCUGUCUUCUGGGCCUCUUGCAGAGGAGGCACAUGAAGAAGGCUCUCAAAUUAUCAUUGCAGGGUCUGGGUCGUAUGGAAAGAGGAGGUCCUUGAAGUAAUUGGCAGCCGGUGCCAGAACUGGCAUUAUAUGUGCAAACCAUCUUGCACCGGUGAGCAACCUGGCCGCUGAAUUCUUCACCUGCUGAAGUUUCUUGAGAGGCAGCCCCACAUAUAUAGUACACAGCAGUAAUUUAACCUAGAGGUGGCCAGAGCUUAGGUGACAGUGAUAACUUAUCCCAUUCCCAUAGGCACUUGUUUGGCCACUGUGAGAACAGGAUGCUGGACUAGAUGGGCCUUUGGCCUGAUCCUGUAGGGUUCCUCUUGCGUUCUUAAUAUAAAGCAAGGGUGGUGAACCUCCAUUUUGGCCUGCCAGGAGGUGCAGUCUAGCCUGUGAUGAAAUUUUCCUAAACCCUGCUCACCUGUCCCAUCAGCUGUUGUCAGCACAAUGGAUAAGUGCUAUUAGCUGAUGGGUAGGGUUAAUUUUUUUCUUGGCUGUGCCCUCGCUAUGGGGAACUGGUACAUGCAUCCAAAGUAGCAGAAUUUAACUCAGCGGUUCAAUCCAGCUCAGUGCUGCUUUGUCAGUUACCAUUAUUACCCCCUUCCCCACACUUCAAAUUUCACAGGUGGGUGGGAUUCCCUGCACACCUAUCAGUGUCACAAUGUUAUGAUGCCCAAAGGUUGACAGGUGAGUGGCCCUGCCCGUGUAUCAGAGUAGGCCUGUGCAGAAGGGGGAGUGUCGUGCCAAUGCAAUGAUGCUUCCUUCAUUUCUGCAGCCAGCGGGAGGCUGCUUAGCCGGUGGAGUUGAGUGGAAGGAGACCUCUGCUCAAACAAACACCCCUCUCCAGUGCAGGGUUUUUUUUUUAAUUGCUCCGUUAGCUUUAUUAAUUUUUCAUUUUAUAAAAUGUAUAUUCAGUGCCAAUUGGCGUUCAUGGGGUAGCUAAAAAUAUAUACAAGGAGGUGGUAAGCGUAUCGCUUCAAGCAAUUAUUUAAAUAUUUAUUUUGGCACAAACCUUUAGCACAUCUGCAUUCAUUGUCUGUGGAAACUUCUUAAAAGUAUUAGGACAAUUGUUCUGUGAGAAACGAUGCAGUCAGCUGGUGUUGAUUUAUAUUAUAAUUGCUACUCAAGUCUAACAGUUGAGUGGUAGAGAAACUUACAGUGACAGAUUGUGGCAUAGCGUAGUUCAUUGGUCCCCUUCCCCCAGCAAAUGCUGGAGAAAAUCAUGCACAGAAUUACUGUUCUUCAUGUGGUUGGUUCUCCGAGUUGCAGCCAAGUCACUGUUGCAGUUGUGAUGCAUUCUGUAACCAUUAUGUCAGGAUAGGUGUAGGGUUGUCAGUUCUUGUCAAAAGCCUCUGUUCUUGUUACAUGAUAGGAAAACAUCAUGUCAUGUCAUAUAGUGUGAUGUGAAACAAUCGUGUCACAGUAUGACACCUUCUAUAGCUAAUCUAUUAUAGUACAAUAUCGGCUAAAGCUCUUGACAUCAAUUUCUUCAAAGGAGAUUUCUAAAUACUUCAAAGGAGAUUUCUAAAUAUUUUCUCAUGAGGUGCAAGCUCCACCCCCCCCCUCAAUACCCGUGAAACCCUCUUUUUUGUUUACUUUAGAGAGUGCAAGAGGGUUUCCUAUGUCACACUGCACUUUUUGUGCAGGCUUCCUGGCUCAUUCUGCUUUUCUCUCCUCCCACCCAUUCAAAGAGGGGAAUUUCAUAUUGAACUAGACUUUGAAGCAGGCAUGUUCUUGCUUCAAAGUUCAGAGUGACAGGACACACACACUACUAGGUAUGCACAAAGGACUAGGGGAAGAGGGGAAGGAAGGUCUUAACAGCAACCACAAAACUGUUAUUAGCUAGUAAGCCAAGCCAAAUUUUUGUGGACCACUCUGCAAAUAGUGGUAGAAAGUUAAACGUGUGCUAUUCACACAGAUAAGUUGGAUGUCUUAAGAAUCCUUUUCAAAAUAGCUCCCAAGUAUGUAUGCAGAUCUUUUACUGGAUAAUAUAAGGUCAUGAUACUUAUUACUAUAUAAUUUACAAUUCUAAAAAAUAAAAAUAAAAUUUAUGUUAAUUACAUGCUUUUUAGCUUUUGGGCUGGCUACAAAAAGAUAAUAAACAGUAUUGACCACUGCUAUCAUGCUUUGUAAGACUAAAUAUGGCAUUGCAUCUAAAAACAUUGCUUAAUGUGUCUGAUAGGGUUUUAAUAUCUACUUUAAUCAAUGAGACUAUGAUAAUUUUCAAAAUUGAAUUUGUUUUAUUAUAUUUCUGCAUUUUUAAAAAAAAUUUAUUGAUACAGC